UGCGUAGGCGGCUUGGUAAGUCAGAUGUGAAAUCCUGGGGGCUCAACCUCGGAACUGCAUUUGAUACUGCCAGGCUAGAGUACUGGAGAGGAGACUGGAAUUUACGGUGUAGCAGUGAAAUGCGUAGAUAUCGUAAGGAAGGCCAGUGGCGAAGGCGAGUCUCUGGACAGUAACUGACGCUGAGGCACGAAGGCUAGGGGGAGCAAACG
rnacentral:rRNA from 1 species